AAAAUUACCAACCAACAUGAAUAGAGAAGAUUUUUUUAUUUUUAGUUAUGGCUGGCUUAUACUCAAGUCCUUGGAAAAUAAGUAAGUGUAUAUAUGUACGGUAUCUAUAAUAAACUAGCUAUGUCUGUAACUAUAUGUGUCUAUAAACUAGCUAAGUAAAUACUUUAACCACCGUACAUCUAUAUUUUGUAAUAGCUAUAGUUUAUUUAUGAUUAAAAUAGUAUUAUUUUUUAGAAGAAGAAAACGUCAACACAGAUAUUGGGUUCGAUCACUUUUAUUUGGAAGAGUGAACGAUGGUGCUGCACAAUUGAUGAAUUAUUACUUUCGUUUACUAACUUAGUCUAGUAUUUAAGUACAGAAUUCGUAUUCAGAUUUCGUAAAUUCGUAAUUCGUUUUCAGGCACAACACGACCGUUUCCACUAAACAGACUCGAGUUUCAAAACACAUCGAAACCUUUUGAUGUUACCGCUUCCGAGCGGGACACAAAAAACAAAACUCCAACUGUCGCAAAAUACGUUGGGUCUUCAAAAUGUUUGCGAAAAGUUCCAGUUUUGUUUUAUUCGACACGAGUUUGUGUUUUGUUUUUGUUUUGUCCGUUUAGUGGAAAACCGGCAUAAUACAUUCUACGUAAACAGAUUUGUUAAUGUUAAGAUACGUGAUGAAAUAUUAUUACUUAAUACCAUUGAUUGUAGAAUAGACGAUAAAAUACACGAUUGCGCGUAGUCGGUGUUCAAACAAUCGCAGGACGAGUUUUAUUUUUCUCCAAAUCUAUUUCGGUAGAAAUAACGCCGGUAACGAUUUUCAGUCGAAUUUUAGUCCGACUGAUAGGUUGUUCAAUAUUAUGGAAUGCACGUGGUGGGUGCAUUAAAAUUUGUGAUAAGAACAUAAGCUGUAUUAUAAUUAAACGACAUUUCAGAUAAAAAUUUGAUUUUCCUUUAUUCAUUCACGCCACCUAUCGGCGGACAGCAACCCAUGUUAGCAUAACUUUGGUAGCCGAAAACCACAUACCGAGGAUUAUAUGAUGUCUAUGAUCAAUGAUAUUAACAUAAUAUAGUUACGACAAUCGUCAUUGUUGUCAAUUUCACGUUUUAUAAAACUACAUUAUGUAUACGUAUUUACUGAUUUGCUGAUACACAUUACCGAUUAUCGGCUGGAAUAUCCACCUGGAUUAUCCACCGAAGGCCAAAAUCGAAUUCCUAUUAUAGUAUAAUUGUAAUCAUCGAAAUAAACACACAUCGCGACAGCCAGCUGUUCGUAUUAUUAAUAUUUUAACUUUUCACCGAUAUCGGAUUGGGUUGAGAUUAUUACAAGAAGUGGUGUGAUUUUACAAACCGACCGAAUAAUAAACACGAUCAUUAUUAAUUGUUACACUUCAACGUUCCUUUUUAGUAGGUACAUGUAGCCUUACGGGUAUGUCUUUGUUGACCAGACUUUAACGUUCAAAAUUAAAUGGAAAACUGUGAAUAAACAAUAUUUUAGAUCAAUAAUCGCUGAUAAAAAUAUAUCUAAAGCCAGAGUGUCAAAAGUUCAAGCAGAUUUAAUGAAAAUAAUUAUUUCGACAAAUUACGGAAAAAUAGUUUGCUUUGAAGUGACAUAAGAAGUACUUAUGGAUCCAAACAAUGAACCCAUAUCUCUGCAAUAAUGAAUUUUUGAUUUUAGUGAUUUAUUGAUCGAAUUCUUAUUUAUUUUGUAUGCCAUAUCAAUUACCUCGUAACUUAAAAUGUUUGGUUGUGACAAGUGUCCAGCUACGUUUCUCCACAGGUACAGCUUAACUAGACAUAUGGUAGCUCAUAGCGAUGUUCGUUUUGAAUGUGAAAUAUGUAAAUCGCUGUUUAAAUACAAGACCAAUCUUAAGCGACACGAAAGAAAUACUCAUCAUAUUAUACGUAAUACGAGACAGUAUAUAACGGCAUAUAAUGUAACGACUGCAGCUGGUUCGUCGAGUGCACGGAAUUGGAUAGACUUAACUGGAAACAGUGACGUUGAAGAUGAUCCGAACAAUGUUAGAUUGGGCCAAAAUUCGGUCGCCACUAAAGCAACUUCACUACAAUCAAACAAUCAAGGUGAUCUUACGUGUAUGACAUUCAAUAUGAACUCCCUCAAAUCUGAACGGAUUGAUCAGAUAGUAUCAUAUACGUGCAAUUUAAAUUCAAAUGUGUGUUUAUGUGGAUAUUGUACAACUUUAGACAUUAAAUCUGAAAAUGAACAAAACAAUGUGCACAUCGAGUAUAAACCAACUAUCCGUAUGACUGUAGAUAGCACGGUUGGUGAAGGGAUGGUGAUCAAACGCAAUUCGUCAGAAGUCCAAGGUCAAAUAUUCAAAAUAACUUCAAUAUCUGCAAUAUCUGUGCGUUCGUGGAGAUUUAUAUAAGUUAUUAUGUAUUUCAUACAUAUCAUCAACGUCAUGCAAAAAGUGUCCAAGGAAAAUUUUCACUUUGUCGCAACAAACUACUGACAUUAGCAGACUUGGAUGCUCACAAAAUUCCUGAAGAACGUUACAAAAUGGCCA
rnacentral:misc_RNA from 1 species